CCGGGCAGCUGCGACGCAAGCGAGCCGGGAGAUACCAAAGUUGUUGACACGGUCACAGGUGUUGUCGUCAACACGUCCUGUGAAACUCGUGAGACAUUCACGCAAGCUGUCAAACGCUACCAAGUGCGUAAAAUGUCGAAUAGCAGUCACUUGCAACGUCGUCGGCGUCUGAUGCGAAAAAGUUUCUGCCGCAACGAACAUAUAUGUCGUCAGCUGUCGAAUUGCAGCAUGUAGUCAAGCAACCGCGCACUUGAUCAAACGCGAAGUUGUUUUAUGUCGCUAAUAAAAUCUCCUUAGCGUGCUCACUCAUUACCAGAGUCUGCUUUUGUCUUUCGGGUGAAGGUUUGUGGAGAAAACGCGAAAUUUAGUGUGCGUUCACUCCUCCUCGCGCAAACACACCGAGACGCUAAAAAUGCCAACUAAUCCACAAGUAAGUAAUCUACAAUUUGGGACGUCGUCAAGACAACUCGUAAAUCAUCUCGUUUAAUAGCAACAGCAGUCAAGUAACGCUAAGGAUAUAGUUAACUGGGAAAACGGAACCGCUAUCAUCAAAUUGCAGUUCUCAAGUUUAACAGCUUCCAGAUAACAUCCAAAAUAGCACACACUUCACACGUCAUUCAAUUCAUCCGUGAAAUAUCACAAACAUGGAUGAAUAAUCAAAUACUAUUUUAUAUGUAAAUAUUUUAAACUGCUAAAUCUGUACCAACAUUUCACAUCGUGUAAUAUUUGUGCUCAGAAAUUAACUGGGCAUUUUUCAUUUAUGACCAGAUUUCUUCUUAUGAAUAUUUCUGAUUUGAAACUUGGCUAUCCCAUCAAUUUGCUGUCAUACUAUGAUGCGACAAUUAAACAUUUAUAUGGCUUGAAGUCUCCUGCCCAUAUUUAGUCAUGAUUGUAUAACUCAUAAACUUGAGUUAAACACUUUAUUGUAACCAGAUGUUAACCAGUUAACCUUGCUGAAUUGUUUACUGCACACCAGGAUGUAGGAAUGUGCCGGUUAUUACCAGCUAGAAGUGGUUUCGUCCUUAUGAUGCGGGUCUCUUGUGAUGCCCUGUGAAGCCCUUUAUUUCCCUUUCAUUCUUUUGUGAUGCGGGCCCUUCUGAUAGUAUUAGAAUGCUGUAAGUCCUCUGUAUCUUCACACUUGUGAUCUGCCACAGCCAUCGUCUGUAAGUCAUUUUUGCCAGGAAUAUUUUGUCAGUAGAAGCUUUGAAGGAACAUUUCGUCAUCUCGAGCCUGUAUUUGGACAACCAAUCCUCACUGCCCGAAAUUAAACGAACACGCGAAAGAAAAAACGUCCUCCCAACAAUUGGCGACCCUGACGUGAUUUCCGACUGAGGUGUUGGUUGACAGAACGUCGGCUGGCCAACAAUUGAUGAGGCUCAGCUAUCCCGGCACUGGACGACAACUGGAAAACUGCGUCUUCCCCAGUGCCGGCUGGCACCUGUUGAUGAGAUCAUUCGAGGAGGGUUGAUUUCACAGUACACGGGCAGAAUAAACUCUGUGAAUCAACCUGGGACCAGGUAGUCUAACCCCAAGGUCCUGAAGAAGCUGGCUGCGCCCCAGCUCGACUCAAACCUCUCUCCUUGAUGUUCAUCAUGAGACUCUCUUCGACGCAGACAUCGGCAGGGAUGGCCGUCGUCUUGGUGGCUGCCGUCCUGGUGCAGCCAUGGAUCGCUGCAGGAGCAACCUCAGGAUGUCCCAUCCCGAUUCGCACGCAGCAUGUUAGAGUGGGGUUACGUGGAGUGUCCACAACCACUGUGACCAGCGAAGGAGAAUGCGUGAUGGUUCCGGGAAAUGCUCGAGUUACGUUUGAAUUCAAUGCAUGUAAAUUUUACCCCUGUUCUUGGGCUCCUAAUUAUCAGUAUUAUCUGUCUUCUGUAUCUUGGUCGUACUAUACCACCGUAGCGUACUCUGGGUUUGAUUGGCAGGUAUCCUGUGUCUAUCACCCCCACCCUAUCGAAUGUAGACAGAUUGCCGAGUGCCUCAGUUUAGUACGAGUAGGCCCCCUUGGUGUAGGACAUGCUCAUUUGAGUUUAACAGUGGAUCUUCGAUCACUGAACAUCUCUUCUCUCCUGACAACCACGACUUCGCACGCCCGCCCCCAUCAGAUCCCCAGAUGUUGUUGUAUUCCUCGUAUUCGAUCUUUGCAUCAGCGAUUGAUUACUGCCGCCAUUGAAAAAAAGGACAUUCAUGGUCCUCCGCCCUAUAAGAUGGCUGAAUUGCCUCCCCCUUCAGGUCCCAUGCCCGAUGUACUACACGCUCCGGACAACGCGACCGCAGGAACCUCUCUUUAAUUUUGUUUUCUUUCAGGUGUCAGAUUCUUUCGACACUAUGUGGCCCACAACAAAUACUGAUGAAAACCCUGGUCUGUGGUAAUGUUCGAAAUACUUGACUAUAUCAUUGGCUAAAACAACGUUACACGUUACACAAAUAAACUUAACACAUAAAUGGAAGAAAGUGGUUCUAUCAACUCAUUCACUCUGCGUGUGAUUUUUGGGCAGAAGUAGUUCACAUCUUUUGUCAGAACUACAGAAAAUGUGAACCAAACUGAAAGAAAAAGGUUGGUAAAGGGAUUUCCCAACUUAAUCUGAACAGAAAAUGUAUAACCUUUUCAUAAACCUGAUAAAACAAGAUUUUGGUUUUCUGGAUUAAGUAUUUUACCGUCUUUGAAUGGGAGGGAAAAAGCCCUUGCCCUUCUGUUCUAGUGAUACUUUUUGCGUGAAAUGACUUUUUUUUUCCAAAUGUUUUGCUUUUUUUGCGUUAUCUAGUACUGUCCUGCAAGUUUAACGCUUACGGCUGUUCUGAAUCAUGAGACUAUGGAUUUGUUAAAAGGUAUGUUUGGACGAUUAGUUUCCAUAUUUCUUGAAAUGUUACUUUUGGGAUUUUUGUGUUUGUUUUAGUGAUCGAUUUCAGAGAUCAAGAGAGGGAAUAAAGAGUAUUUUACUUUCAUUGCACUUAAUCAACAGUUAAAGUGUUGUCCAUUUGCUAAUCAGACAAGGAUGUCUUGUGGAGCCCGUGAGCCCUGAUCUUUGUACGCAGGAAAACCGAGUAGUGGCAGCCUCCUCUCCCAGGCGUUGCCGUGGAGACGAACGAUGGGGGGUGUGGGGCAGCCACUUUUACCAUGGACCCAUACAUAUAAAAACCUUGUAUUACCGGGCAGCUUUUGUCUUCUUCUUUGGCUAUCCUGCCAGAAGACACUCGGCAGCAGAUACCAAGAUAAGACGCGGACGUCUGUAUUUCACAUUCCUUUGUAAUAAAUCCAUUUGCUGUUAA